rnacentral:rRNA from 1 species
UAGAUGCAUGUCCGGUUGCAGCAAUGUAAACGGGUGGGAGCGGCGCAAGGGUGCGUAACGCGUGGGCAAUUUGCCGUGAAGUUGGGAAUAACUCGCUGAAAGGCGAGCUAAUGCCGAAUGUGGUUGCCUGGUGGAAUCACCGGGUUACUAAAGUUGGGGACCGAAAGGCCUGACGCUUCACGAUAAGCCCGCGCCCUAUCAGCUAGUUGGUGAGGUAACGGCCCACCAAGGCUAAGACGGGUAGCUGGUCUGAGAGGACGACCAGCCACACUGGAACUGAGACACGGUCCAGACACCUACGGGUGGCAGCAGUCGAGAAUUUUUCACAAUGGGCGCAAGCCUGAUGGAGCGACGCCGCGUGCGGGAUGAAGGGCUUCGGCCCGUAAACCCCUGUCAUUUGCGAACAAACCUUGCCUGAUAACACCAGGCGAGCUGAUUGUAGUGAAAGAGGAAGGGACGGCUAACUCUGUGCCAGCAGCCGCGGUAAUACAGAGGUCCCAAGCGUUGUUCGGAUUCACUGGGCGUAAAGGGUGCGUAGGUGGUGAGGUAAGUCGGAUGUGAAAUCUCUGAGCUCAACUCAGAAAUGGCAUUGGAAACUACCUUGCUUGAGGAUUGGAGGGGGGACUGGAAUUCACGGUGUAGCA